GGGGCAGCAUAUAGAUUGCUUGCAAUUUAUGAUGGCGACCGGCGCACGGGUGAGUAACGCGUAUCCAACCUACCCAUUACUAGGGAAUAACCCAGCGAAAGUUGGCCUAAUGCCCUAUGUAGUCGUUUGAUCGCCUGAGAUUUCGACGAAAGAUUUAUCGGUAUUGGAUGGGGAUGCGUCUGAUUAGCUUGUUGGCGGGGUAAAGGCCCACCAAGGCAACGAUCAGUAGGGGUUCUGAGAGGAAGGUCCCCCACAUUGGAACUGAGACACGGUCCAAACUCCUACGGGAGGCAGCAGUGAGGAAUAUUGGUCAAUGGGCGAGAGCCUGAACCAGCCAAGUAGCGUGCAGGAUGACGGCCCUAUGGGUUGUAAACUGCUUUUAUAUGGGAAUAAAGUGAGGGACGUGUCCCUUAUUGCAUGUACCAUACGAAUAAGGACCGGCUAAUUCCGUGCCAGCAGCCGCGGUAAUACGGAAGGUCCAGGCGUUAUUCGGAUUUAUUGGGUUUAAAGGGAGCGUAGGCUGUUUGUUAAGCGUGUUGUGAAAUGUAGGAGCUCAACUUUUAGAUUGCAGCGCGAACUGGCAGACUUGAGUGCGCACAACGUAGGCGGAAUUCAUGGUGUAGCGGAGAAAUGCUUAGAUAUCAUGACG
rnacentral:rRNA from 1 species